rnacentral:lncRNA from 1 species
UCUUGUUAUGUGUGGAGCCUUUGUUCUUACUAAGGCUCAGUGACUUUCGAUAGGAAAAUACUUCUCACCCUAGAAGUAAAUCUUUGAAAACUAAUUGCUUUGUAUAACUACAUGAAUGAAUAGACUAGCUUCAAAGAACAAAAUCAUCUCCAUGAUAACCAAGUUCUAUGAGAAGACCAGUUAUCUAGAAUUUCAUUAUAAAAUGAGAAAACUAAAAACAUUUCUCACUGCUUAGAAAAAGUUUGCUUCUCCUAUUUUUCAUUUUAUCUCCCAAGAGUAAAACUUCCUUCAGUAUUUUACAACAGCAAAGAAAUUUGCACCUCAUUUCCGUCUUGUUAUGUUGCUGGUGAAUUGAGUGCACUAGGUAAAGAGAAUAUCUUUUUCAUAUCUAGUAUCAGAGGCCAUGUGUCUGACCAAGAUAGCAACUAUGGAUAGGAAAUUCAGAGAUUUGUUUUCAACUUCUUUACAUUUAACUAUGGCAACUUUGGGGCAAGUCACUAAG